AUUGAACGCUGGCGGCAGGCCUAACACAUGCAAGUCGAACGAGUGGCGGACGGGUGAGUAAUGUCUGGGGAACUGCCUGAUGGAGGGGGAUAACUACUGGAAACGGUAGCUAAUACCGCAUACCAUCGGAUGUGCCCAGAUGGGAUUAGCUUGUUGGUGGGGUAACGGCUCACCAAGGCGACGAUCCCUCGCUGGUCUGAGAGGAUGAACAGCCAACCUGGAACUGAGACACGGCCCAUGCUCCUACGUGAGGCAGCAGUGGGGAAUAUUGCACAAUGGGCGCAAGCCUGAUGCAGCCAUGCCGCGUGUAUGAAGAAGGCCUUCGGGUUGUAAAGUACUUUCAGUGGGGAGGCGUUACCCACAGAAGAAGCACCGGCUAACUCCGUGCCAGCAGCCGCGGUAAUUC
rnacentral:rRNA from 1 species